rnacentral:sRNA from 1 species
GCCAGGUGCAGUGGUGUACACCUGUGAUCCCAGCGACUCUGGAGGCUGAGGCAGGAGGACCAUGAGUUUUGAACUCAGCAACUUAGUGAGGCCUAAGAACUCAGUGAGACCCUGUCUCUA